rnacentral:rRNA from 1 species
UNUGACUUGAGUGCAGAAGGGGAGAGUGGAAUUCCAUGUGUAGCGGUGAAAUGCGUAGAUAUAUGGAGGAACACCAGUGGCGAAAGCGGCUCUCUGGUCUGUCACUGACGCUGAGGCUCGAAAGCGUGGGUAGCGAACAGGAUUAGAUACCCUGGUAGUCCACGCCGUAAACGAUGAGUGCUAGGUGUUAGGCCCUUUCCGGGGCUUAGUGCCGGAGCUAACGCAAUAAGCACUCCGCCUGGGGAGUACGACCGCAAGGUUGAAACUCAAAGGAAUUGACGGGGGCCCGCACAAGCGGUGGAGCAUGUGGUUUAAUUCGAAGCAACGCGAAGAACCUUACCAGGUCUUGACAUCCCGAUGCUAUUCUUAGAGAUAGGAAGUUACUUCGGUACAUCGGAGACAGGUGGUGCAUGGUUGUCGUCAGCUCGUGUCGUGAGAUGUUGGGUUAAGUCCCGCAACGAGCGCAACCCUUAUUGUUAGUUGCCAUCAUUAAGUUGGGCACUCUAGCGAGACUGCCGGUAAUAAACCGGAGGAAGGUGGGGAUGACGUCAAAUCAUCAUGCCCCUUAUGACCUGGGCUACACACGUGCUACAAUGGUCGGUACAACGAGUUGCGAGCCGGUGACGGCAAGCUAAUCUCUGAAAGCCGAUCUCAGUUCGGAUUGGAGGCUGCAACUCGCCUCCAUGAAGUCGGAAUCGCUAGUAAUCGCGGAUCAGCACGCCGCGGUGAAUACGUUCCCGGGCCUUGUACACACCGCCCGUCACACCACGAGAGUUUGUAACACCCGAAGUCGGUGAGGUAACCUUUUAGGGGCCAGCCGC